GGGUUGGAGCUAGGGUUAGGGUUAGGGUUAGGGUUGGAGUUAGGGUUAGUGUUGGAGCUAGGGUUAGGGUUGGGCUUGGAGCUAGGAUUUUUCUGAGUGCAAUGAACCAACUCCCGAGUCUCUAGGACGUUCCUUAAAAAAUUUGAUUUUUUCCCAUAGGAAUGCAUGGGUUAGGGUUAUGGUUAGGGUUGGAGCUAGGGUUAGGGUUAGGGUUAGGGUUGGAGUUAGGGUUAGUGUUGGAGCUAGGGUUAGGGUUGGGCUUGGAGCUAGGAUUUUUCUGAGUGCAAUGAACC